UGCAGUCGAACGAUGAAGCCCAGCUUGCUGGGUGGAUUAGUGGCGAACGGGUGAGUAACACGUGAGUAACCUGCCCUUGACUCUGGGAUAAGCGUUGGAAACGACGUCUAAUACCGGAUACGAGCUUCCACCGCAUGGUGAGUUGCUGGAAAGAAUUUUGGUCAAGGAUGGACUCGCGGCCUAUCAGCUUGUUGGUGAGGUAAUGGCUCACCAAGGCGACGACGGGUAGCCGGCCUGAGAGGGUGACCGGCCACACUGGGACUGAGACACGGCCCAGACUCCUACGGGAGGCAGCAGUGGGGAAUAUUGCACAAUGGGCGAAAGCCUGAUGCAGCAACGCCGCGUGAGGGACGACGGCCUUCGGGUUGUAAACCUCUUUUAGCAGGGAAGAAGCGAAAGUGACGGUACCUGCAGAAAAAGCACCGGCUAACUACGUGCCAGCAGCCGCGGUAAUACGUAGGGUGCAAGCGUUGUCCGGAAUUAUUGGGCGUAAAGAGCUCGUAGGCGGUUUGUCGCGUCUGCUGUGAAAUCCCGAGGCUCAACCUCGGGUCUGCAGUGGGUACGGGCAGACUAGAGUGCGGUAGGGGAGAUUGGAAUUCCUGGUGUAGCGGUGGAAUGCGCAGAUAUCAGGAGGAACACCGAUGGCGAAGGCAGAUCUCUGGGCCGCUACUGACGCUGAGGAGCGAAAGGGUGGGGAGCAAACAGGCUUAGAUACCCUGGUAGUCCACCCCGUAAACGUUGGGCGCUAGAUGUGGGGACCAUUCCACGGUUUCCGUGUCGUAGCUAACGCAUUAAGCGCCCCGCCUGGGGAGUACGGCCGCAAGGCUAAAACUCAAAGGAAUUGACGGGGGCCCGCACAAGCGGCGGAGCAUGCGGAUUAAUUCGAUGCAACGCGAAGAACCUUACCAAGGCUUGACAUAUACGAGAACGGGCCAGAAAUGGUCAACUCUUUGGACACUYGUAAACAGGUGGUGCAUGGUUGUCGUCAGCUCGUGUCGUGAGAUGUUGGGUUAAGUCCCGCAACGAGCGCAACCCUCGUUCUAUGUUGCCAGCACGUAAUGGUGGGAACUCAUGGGAUACUGCCGGGGUCAACUCGGAGGAAGGUGGGGACGACGUCAAAUCAUCAUGCCCCUUAUGUCUUGGGCUUCACGCAUGCUACAAUGGCCAGUACAAAGGGCUGCAAUACCGUAAGGUGGAGCGAAUCCCAAAAAGCUGGUCCCAGUUCGGAUUGAGGUCUGCAACUCGACCUCAUGAAGUCGGAGUCGCUAGUAAUCGCAGAUCAGCAACGCUGCGGUGAAUACGUUCCCGGGCCUUGUACACACCGCCCGUCAAGUCAUGAAAGUCGGUAACACCCGAAGCCAGUGGCCUAACCGCAAGGA
rnacentral:rRNA from 1 species